UUGAUGUGUAUGAAACCGCAUGAAUGGCAGAAUGUCAAGUUAUCUUGUCAUCAAAAAACAUUGUGUGCUUAUUCUUCUUAAUGGAAAAUUAUUCAAGUCAUAAUUUGCAAGACUUGUUGAAUUUUUUAAGGUGAAUUUUCACAAUCGUCGUCUUACACUAGAUGUAGGCUAAGUUAUGAGAACAAUUAACAAUUCGCAGUUACUAAACUGAAUCUCUUCUGUACGCUCUUCGUAACGUUAACUUAGCUUAACGCGGUUAAUGCUAUAUGCAUAAUACAAACAAAGAAGUACAUGUUAAUGUUAGCAGAACUACACUAGCUAUGAUACAGUACGUUGCGUAUCACUAUAUGUCAUAUGCUAAGAUAUUACUUAAGAUUCGUUUGCUGAUAGAUGCGGAUAAAUUGCUUUUCUGCAUACAUAAAUAAAUUGCUAAAAACUAUUAGAAAGAUUGUAAAUAGAGCUACCACUGAACCUCGUUCCUCA